GAUGAACGCUGGCGGCGUGCCUAAUACAUGCAAGUCGAGCGAACAGACGAGGAGCUUGCUCCUCUGACGUUAGCGGCGGACGGGUGAGUAACACGUGGAUAACCUACCUAUAAGACUGGGAUAACUUCGGGAAACCGGAGCUAAUACCGGAUAAUAUAUUGAACCGCAUGGUUCAAUAGUGAAAGACGGUUUUGCUGUCACUUAUAGAUGGAUCCGCGCCGCAUUAGCUAGUUGGUAAGGUAACGGCUUACCAAGGCAACGAUGCGUAGCCGACCUGAGAGGGUGAUCGGCCACACUGGAACUGAGACCCGGUCCAGACUCCGACGGGAGGCAGCAGUAGGGAAUCUACCGCAAUGGGCGAAAGCCUGACGGAGCAACGCCGCGUGAGUGAUGAAGGUCUUCGGAUCGUAAAACUCUGUUAUUAGGGAAGAACAAAUGUGUAAGUAACUAUGCACGUCUGGACGGUACCUAAUCAGAAAGCCACGGCUAACUACGU
rnacentral:rRNA from 1 species